GUUAUUUUUUUCUAUUUUUUAUUCUUUGUUUCAUCCCUGUGUAAACAAAACAGAAAACACCCCACCCUUUUUCUUUUUCACCUAGGGUUUUCAAAACCCCCUUUUGCCGCCGUCGUCAUGGCUCUCUGAAGCUGCUGAGUUCUCCAUCGGUGACGGUGGUCAAAGCCAUCAAGAUCCAGGUAACUUUCUUUUUUUAUUUUUAUUUAAAAAUGAUUUAUGGUGAAGAUGAUGAUAUAAAUCGAGAAGGAAAAAGUAAAUAACAAAAAUAAACUAAAAAUAAGGGAAACAGAGGUUAAAAUCCACCUUUUUUCUUCUGUUGUUUCGCUUUUGAUUUUCAAUAUACGUAUCUAACAGUAUCCUAUUUUUCUAAAACAGAACAGCAAUAUAAAAAAAUCAAAAAUCCCCCAUUUCCUCCCUUUCUUGUUCGGCUUAUAUAGCCGUUUAUAUUGUUUUUUUUAACCAUUUUUGCUGCUUGCAUGUCUGCUCUAUCUUGCAGAGUAGUUGAUGGCGGUGGAAUGGGGGUCGACAGAGAUGAUGGGACAGAGGCGGCUGCUGGUGGAGGCAGGUGGCUGCCAUUGCUAGGGUUUUUCUUUUUGUUGUUUUUUUAUUAUUGGUUGGGCUACUAGGGUUUUAUUUUUGUUUUGGGUUAGGUAUGUAUUGGGCUUGCUGUUGGGUUUGGGUUUAAUGGGUCUUUGUAUGGGUUGGGGUAGGUUUAGGUUAAAAUGGGCCUGGGAUUAUUUGGGCUUCUACAAUUACAUUUCAGCUUAUUGUUUUCUUUUACUUUCUAACAGAAACACAGACAACUUCAAUUCUAUAGAAAACUAUAUCCACUUCAUGCCAAGGAAUUACAGUGAUCACAAUUGCACACUACAUUUCAAUAGUUUGAAUAUGGAUAGCGUAUUUGUUCUCAAUCAAGGAACCCUAGUGUGUUUUCUAUAUCCCCUCCAGCAUUACUUGUAAAACAUAAUCCGGCAUCUACUCGAUAUCAGAUUCAAUUUUAUAUUUGAAUUUUUUUAGAAAUGUAGUAUCUGUUGGUGUUUGAAGAACAAAACAGCAUCCAAAACUGAGUCUUGAGCAACAAGGCACGUUGCUUAUGGAGGAAACAAACAGAACUUUGCAAAGGAAAACAAGAACAGAAAUGAAAAACAAAGAAAAUGAAGCAUAAAAUGAAUGAAAUUCAAUGAUUUUCAUUAAGAAGAAAACAUUGGCAUAUAGCCAUUACAUAUAUCAAUCAUUGACUGAGCAAAAUAAGUCAAAUUUUU
rnacentral:lncRNA from 1 species